CAUCAUGUUGGUUGAAGCUAACAUUAACAUUAUGGUUGUUCCAAACUAGAUUUUUGUUGAUUCAAAUCCAUAAUGUAGGUUCAAUAGAAUUGUAUUCUUAGUUUGAAACAAACUAAGAAUGAUGGUUGUAAUCAAUGAUGUUUUGUUUGUUUUGAAUAUAUCAUAUAUGUUGAUUCUACACAAAAUCGUAGUUUGAUAUAAACAAAAUAUAGGUUGUAUAGGGUUGUAUUAGUUUGUUUAGAAAAAUAUAAUCCUGCUCUCUGUCUAAUCACCUCUGCUUUAUGUACCAGGGAAAAAGGCGAAAUGGUUCCUCUAAGAUCAACAUGUUCAACAGAAUUGCCGUAGUGUGGCUCAGAAUACGUAUGCUGUUGCAGAGCAGCUACAGUAAAAGUUGAGUUACAGAUCGACUGGUCGAAACAAUUAGUUCGUCGGUACCGGAAACAACCUGUUUCAUAGCGUUGACCAGGCGGUGACUAUGUCGCACAAAAUCCCCCAAACGGUGAUGGAGCAAAAAUUGAUUAGAAGACCGGAAUAGUUCUGACCUUGCGGCAAAAAAUGGACAAUCACUGCUCUUCUGAGUUCAUGUAAUAUGGCGUGCAUAUGGCAGAAAAACAAAACAAGUAGUUCAACGUCCCCGUUGAGUAGUCGAUGCCGAUAGUUUUGAAUAAAUUUUAUAAAAGAAUAUACAACCAUGUACAUAAACUAAAAUUUUAUCAAUA